UAUGCUGGAAUUUGAAUUUACACCAUACUCAUAGUCCAAGAAAACUCAAACCAAUAAAUCUAACUAGAAUGGUUCCUGAUUGGUCCUGCUUCCAGAGCCAAGCAGAAACCAAGCAAAUCAUCUCAGUUGUGGUCUCUCAGGAAACCCAAAGUUAAAGUUUAGACAAAUAUGAGCGAUUUAUAAAAUUUAACAAAGAGUUGAAGGGUCAAACUACCAUAAGCAGGAGUCAACAGAAACCAUAAAGAGAAGAACAAGACACAGAAAAAUACAAAUAUUAAAAUUAUAACAAACUUUAUACGCAGGAAGUAGGUUUAAAAGCAUGUUUAAAGUGAAAAGAUAGAGAUCAACACGAUGACUAUGGGGAGCAUUAAAAGGGGCCAUUGGUCCACUCUGGAACUUCAAAGUAGGUUUUCUGAAAAAGAUGAUGCUUGAGCUUAAGCUUGAAGGACAGUAAAUAAUUAGCCAGGAGGAAAAGUGGUGAGGGAGUUUCAGAGAAAAAGAUCAUAAUGAACAAAUACAUGGAAGCACUGAAUAGCAGAGGGACUUCAGGGGAAAUUAUAAACAUUUACCUAUUACUACAGUAACAAAGGUAGAGCAGAGAGGAACAGGAGAUGCCUGUCCAUUACAUGAAGAAGUAUAGACAUUAUUUAAUAGGAAAUAGGAGUCAAAAAAGGAUUUUAAGAAGGGAAGCCUCAGGAUAAUUUUGUUUUAGGUAGUCUGUGUUUCAGUGGUGAGGGCAGAGGGGCAACACUGAAGUGUCAGGGAUCAGUUAGGAGGCUAUUGCACAGCUUAGGUGAGAGAUGUUGAUGGUCUGAAAACCAGGGUGGUAGUAAGAAUUGAGAGGAGAGACAGGUUUGAGAAACGGCAGAACACAUUAGCACAACUUGUGAUUGACUAGCUAUGUGGAAGACAGCCAAAGCAAUCUUACACAAAAAGAAUGAAGCUGAUGGCAUCACACUACCUGACUUAAACCAUCUACAAGGCUACAGUGACCAAAGCAGCAUGGCCCUGGUACAAAAACAGACACACAGGCCAAUGGAACAGAAGCUUUACUUCUGAGGAGUAAAUGAGAAAACACCUGUCUGUGAAUGCACACCUUGAUGAACAUGAGGUGCUCUACAAAUGGAAGCAUCACGAACGACAACAACUACCUAUUUAUGCAAAUGAAAAAGUGGAGCCCCAGAAGUGACAGAGGCUUGUUCAAGAUCACACAGCAACUUGACCAUGGUGAUAGCACUGAAAACCCCAAAAAAGGUCAAUAGAGACUUACCUGCCCGUGGGGACACUGUGAAACUUGAAUAAUGGUGACAGCAAACCUGCAGGAAUAGAGACAGAGUUUGGGGCCUUGGGGUUCCCUCCCAGCACAGCCCCAGGAGCAGCCCCUGUGAAAAUGGCUCAGAUCCCACCCACCCACACCUACCUGUCCCCCUUGGGAGGGCUGAUUCCCGGGCCUCCACGGACAUCUCUCCCCAGUCAGUCACCCUGCUUGUGCCAAAGUAGGCACACACUAAAUUCAUUCAUUCACCUGCCCUCAUGGAGGAUUUCAGUCAACAACUGUUCUCUGGUGCCAGCUCUGUGCUAAGUCUGGUGCCUGGCACUGAGGGCACAGAGCUCAACAUGAAGAUCAAGAAGCUUUCAUCUGGUGGGAGUGAUUGUCCUUGAAGCAGGAGUGUAUACUUAUCUCUAGACAUGNNNNNNNNNNNNNNNNNNNNNNNNNNNNNNNNNNNNNNNNNNNNNNNNNNNNNNNNNNNNNNNNNNNNNNNNNNNNNNNNNNNNNNNN
rnacentral:lncRNA from 1 species